AGAUGUAUGUGAUGCAAUUCGAAUUUGGGUUUUUAGUCAAAGUUGAUGUACUGCAUAGACUUGAACUAGGUUCACGUAUACAAUACUAUAGUGUUCCUAGAAAGAGGAGCUUCAUUGAGGUACCCCCGCGUAGCGGUGCACUGCUGCCCCCCUCACCCCGCCCCCACAGCCCCGCUGCGCGGCCAUACUGAAGUGAGCCGAUGCACUUCCGUAGUCCUCUAUACAUCGUAGACGGCGGAGCCGCGAUGCGCGCCGUGCGCCCUGUUCCAUAUUUAAUACCUGGCACCCGGGUAACCUUGAAUCGAUAUUUUACCAGUAAUCAGUGAUUGUAAUCGAAAACGUUAGAACUGUACAGCUGGCGCUCGGGACUAUCGCGUGGUGCCUCAACAAAGAACACGAGCGGCGUUACGUCAUCAGCGGGCGGCAGCGUGACCCACAAACCGAAGGAGGCUCAUUUACCGCACGAAACUGUAGUCCCACGGGGAUGAUCGCCGGAAACGAUGCGGCGGCAACAUCUGAAACACACGAAGCGCAUCCUUCGCAAGGCAUGAAAUUCUUUCGCCACUGGCUAUCGCAAGCUCACAAUCGAUUAGCAAAGCACAAAAUUCAAUGGACACUCAACUUGUGCACGCCGAACUGCUUCAAUUGGCGUCUUCUUGUUUCUAAUCCGGCCCGAUGUUCUUCUCAACCCAGAAUCUUCGAUUCAUUCACACACUUUUAUUUUUAAUAAGACCGACAACUUUCUCCACGAAUCGGAGACUCGAUCGAUCGACACAGAGUGCAACCAGCGUACGCGAACUCACCCCUACCUAGACGUAUCUAGGUCGCCGCAUCGUAGUAAAUAUUGCACGUACGCGCCGCGGUGAAUGCAUGCGUUAUAUUGAAUGCGGCAUUUUAUCGUACCUGGUGAGGCGGAAGCGCGUUGCGGUGUGCCGAGCGGAGCGGUGGAGGUCGGGCCGCCUCAUCCGUCGCGCGAUUAACUGCAGUACAUCGCCCGGCCGCGGACGCCGCUUCGGAUCGAUACGAUCGCGAUCUCGCGGCACAUGGGGCGCGAACGAGCUACGAGCUACGGGCGGUGCGAGCGCGACCGCGGCACUCGCGCGUUUAAGCUUCUCAACUUGCACGGUCGAUGCGGGAAUCCGCGCGCACCAACGACCCUACUUUGGGCGCAAGGAGCACCCGAUCGAUAUCGUGGGGCUUGCGCUGCGUCUAUACAGUACGCUACUCAUUAUUUGUACGACUACAUACGAAGCGGAAGGUGACGGCAGCGCCCGCGCCGCCCGUCCUACUAUACCGUCUCGAUACUCACGCGACUUGAUCUACGAGUACAUUGAUUGGUCCCGCACGCCGGCGCAACACUCGCGUUUAGUCGAUGUGCUUGCAGUCAUUUAAAUUCAUAACGUGAAAAUUUUAUGAAGCGAAUCGCAAUGAUCCAAUCGCAAAUCACGUUACACACAUAAAAGAGAUGAACGAAUAUGUUCUUGCUUAAGUCACUUUUUUUUUAUUGCUUAGUUAUGUGGACCAGCUCGCGGCCCAUUUGGUGUUAAGUGGUUACCGGUGUCCAUAUACAUCUACAACGUAAAUGCCGCCACCCACCUUGAGAUUUAAAAAUCUAAGGGUUCAGUUUUCAUAGAACAACGGCUUAGUUAGGCGCUUUAUGCCACAAUAGUAUUUGUAUUUACAUUUAUCUCGACUUUACAGAGAAAACGAUAAGGGCAAAUCGACAAGAUUUGGAUUUUUUAAAUUUAAUACUUAAAAUCGUAAUUGCUUCUAACAAUUUUUUUAUUGCCUUUGUAGGCAGACGACCAUACGGCCCACCUGAUGGUAAGUAGUCACCGUCGCUCAUGGACGUCAGCAAUCCCAGGGGUAGAGUCUAGCCGCUGCCUGCAAUAAAAAUAUAAUUUAUUAUAUGACAAGACUUCUACAAAACAGAAUUAAAAAAAUUACUUUAGGAGGUUCAAAAGUACAUAGAAUUUUUUUCGAAAUUACUGACUAACAUUAAAGUCUGGUAUGCGGGUGUGAAAUAGAACUAAAAAAGUACUUAGUCUAAUCUUAACUAAGUAUUACAGUCGAUUCGUUUGCAUGAAGUAGUCAAAACGCGAUACGCUGCGGUCGGAAAAUCAACACAGUUUUAAAGUUUGUCGAAUGCGAAGGAAUACAAAGCGAGCAAAGGUUGUGGAGUACGCGGUAUCGAUCGGGUCGCGCGGAAACAUGAUGUAUUAUUAAGGGACAGGCGACGAGAGAACGCAGAUUCGUAUGUGGCUCAUGACGUGCAGAGAGAGCGUAUACGUCUAAAUUAUUUAAAUUUUUAUUACAUAUAUGGGUGGACGAGCUCACAGCCCACCUGGUAUUAAGUGGUUACUGGAGCCCAUAGACAUCUACAACGUAAAUGCGCCACUCACCUUGAGAUAUAAGUUCUAAGGUCUCAAGUAUAGUUACAACGGCUGCCCCACCCUUCAAACCGAAACGCGUUGCUGCUUCACGGCUGAAAUAGGCAGGGUGGUGGUAUAAUGAUCAUGAUAGCUACUGAAUAUUUGAACAGAAGUGGCCGACGAAUUAACUGAAAUCUGCCUACGGCGGAUGCAGUGCACGAUUAGUGUCCCAAGCAAUUAUUACUAGCGGAUUGGACGAUUUAAAACCAUUACCGUACAUAGAUGAGAAAAUAAUAAAUUUGGUGUCGCUGGAGGUACGUUUUACGAGCGGUACAUGUCGGGGAAUUGAGCACCGCAUUAAGGACCGCGUUCAUACGAAACCGUAAUGUAAUUUAAUUUAUUUAUUCGAACCUCUAUUUAUUGACUUGUAAUCUACAAGAGUGGCCCUUCGUUAUUUUCUGUCUUGACGUUAAGUGCCUUUUCAUUUCUUUUUAAUGCGUAAGAGGGCUCGAUGUCAGUCACACAACACACACAACGAAUAAAUAAAACACAAUUGGUAUUCAACCGGUUUAUAGAAAUCGAAGUGCCGUCGAUUUCACUGAUCCGAUUAAAAAUUGCUUUGUUUGUAUUUCAUUAGUGAAACUCUCUCUGUUACUUUCUAUGGAGGUAUUUAGCCCUACUGUACCACGCUGGCUAGACGGGUUGGUACAGGGUUUAAUUUCGAGUUUUUCUUCUCUUGCACUGAUGUCUUGUGCAUAUUCUCUUAGUCGGUUCUUACGACUCCCUGGGAUAGUAUAGGGGUGGUGACACAUUGUAUUCUUAUAGGUAGCAACGGACCGGCCGCUCUGGAGAUCAAUUGGAGAGGCCUAUGUUCAGCAGUGGACAGUGGACAGGCUGAGAUGAUGAUGAUGAUGAGUGAAACUCAGUUAUGUGCUUAAUUCCGUGAGCAAUACUCGGGACGUAAUGACGGUAGCACGAGUAUGAUACCUCGAGGUCACUUAAAUAGGUAUAAAAAAAGACCACUCACAUUCCACUCACAUUGAACUGGAUCCUCAUGUAAUCCUCUCCAGUAGCUGGGCACCCCUGUAAUAUUUUUCUAGUUCUUACUAACAACUGAACCAAAUAUAGUACUGAAGUUUUAGAUUAGAUUGCAUUACUGCUUCACGGCAAAAAUAGGCAGGGCGGUGAUACCCACCCACGCGGACUCACAAGAGAUCCUACCACCAGUAAUUACGCAAAUUAUAAUUUCGCGGGUUUGAUUUUUACUACACGAUUUUAUUCCUUCACCGUGGAAGUCAAUCGUGAACAUUUGUUGAGUACGCAUUUCAUUAGAAAAAUUGGUACCCGCCUAAGAUUUGAACACCGGUACAUCGAUCAACACAAAUGCACCGGACGUCUUAUCCGUUAGGCCACGACGACUUCAUUGUAGUACAAUAAUUUUGCAAUGCAAUAUUCAUGUUUUUUUUUUCUUUUUCAAGGUGAGCCGAUACCGGAUUUUGAUCGAAACGAGGCCGUCCAACAUCGAGUUCUAUAUAAUUUAGGGACUGUAAUGAUGUAGUGAUUAAGCCAACAUUUGUGCGUAGCUGUGCGAAACUUAUUUCAGCUCUGCAUUCGCGUCGACCGUGUGUACUGGCGCGUGACACUUCACGCAGCGACGACGAUCAUCUUGUGACGGCAAACGGUGAUGUAUUACUAUAAAAAGAGUAUCAUUUUCGUACAUUCAUUAAUGUACAGGCUCUACGUGAAGGUAUAUUUUAUAUAUUACUAUUUAUAAGCUGAUUUUGGACUAUGCGAGUCGAUACGUGUGUUAAAAACCCUUCGCUUUUUGCCUAAGCGUAGGAUGCUCGCCGAUAUAGAACUGUGGUAAGUUCAAAGAAACGAACAUAUGAGAUUCUGUUUCGACUUCUCAUCUGCGUUUAAAAAAAAUAGAAAUCCUCCGAAUGACAUUGUCAAAAGUAAUGUUUGUAAAAUUUGAAACUUACCGGUUUGAUGAUAAGGCGUGUUAUCAAAUCACCGUAUACUUAGCAUAGCUUUUAGGGCGCUUCGAUUGAAGUGCGAAUAAUUCAACUGCUGCAUAGACGUAAAGGUAUGUCAGCUAGAUUAAGUACAGACCCUGAAUUGGAUUAUAUUACAGCAAUUCCCUAUAAUAAACCGUUUGUCGAAAACUCCCGCUGAAAUUCGGGGUUUAAAAUUAUUAUUAACUGCCGAUGAUAUAAAGGCCCAGAGACUGUUUUUUUUUUCGUUGGAAAACAAUCAUACAUUACGGUUUGAAGUUCAAUUGAGAAUUCGACCGCGUGUUUUCAAGGUGAUCUUCGACGUUUGUGUUGUGAUGCUAACGGGUUCCGGUGACGGCUUAAUAUUAGGUUAGUGAUAAUCUCCCUAAUCAUUCCAUUAUGAAAGGGCAGCUUCUAAUCCGCAAUCUUCAGUUUCAGCCCAUCGAUUUUCAUUAAGCAUCGGUCCAUGUCAAAAUUCUGUCUUUUCCUGACGUAGAACACCGCUUCAGGAAUUGGAGUGGAUCUUGGUACCGCACGUGCCAUGGAAAGUGCUCUGAGGAAUUGUUCGAGAUGAUCCUGUCACCAUUUUUAACAUCGGCAUCACUCAUUACAUAUGUCACACCCAAGAACGUUAUUGUGAAAAUCACAAGAAAAUAAUGGAAAUGGAUAAAACUUUGUGCAUCAAGGGGUUAUGUAAUGAAGACAAACACAAAACAUCGUUCGUGGAAGCAUUACAUCCCUAUGAGAUUCAUAGGAUAAUAUUUCACCUGUCGUCAAUACGUACAGGGCACACGAUGAUUUACUAGCGCAAUGUAGUUGUGUAGCGUUUCGUGUAUUUUGUGAAAACAUGUUUGUAGCGUUAUUUUGUAUCGGUUUUCAAUGUACGAUAAUUGAAGAGGUAUUUUUGAAACGUCGUAUUGAAUUCAAUUUCAAUUGAUUACAUUUGAUUUUAAUUGGAUUCAUGCGUGUUUCUAAUUGCGUCCCUGACUCCCUUGUCGUGUUAGGUAGGGGUAAUUUAUUUAUAUUUGUUUUAUUCCACAGCAUGCUGAUCAACCUGAUUGACUGACCACAAUAUGAUGAUGUGCCACUCUUCGAAAUUGAUCUCCGUGGUGGCGGCGUGCGUAACACGUAACAUAGAUGAAGGAUUCGAAUUUAAUUUCGACUUCUACUAAACUUCGAGGAAUAUUGGCUCAAGUCAGCUUGGAAAUAGCAAUGAUGAAACAACGUAAAGAAACGCCAUAAGAACAUGCAGUUUUUCCAACCAAAGCCAACGCUUCUCAGUAGUGAGAUUGCGCUCCGAUUUGACGGUGAAGUCAUGAUUAAUGACUGAAGUCAAUGGCUACUUGAAGAGAAAGAAAUACGAAGUCGUCUUGGCCUGAAGAAUAUUUUUUUGUAUAUUUUUUUUUUGAAGAACAAUUUUUGUUGUUUCAUUGAUUGAAUUAUCAAUAUUUAAUCCGCCUUACCAAUUGCAGUUGGGCUUGUUUGAACUAAACGAUUCGAAACGACGAAAAACGAUUUCUUGGCCGACAGAUAUUGCAUUAAAAUUUUCUGUGUAUAAAGCCAGUUCCACGUCGUUUGUCUUGUGUUGCUGCUGUAUAUUAAUUUGUACAUGGAACAGUCAAUCAUUAUUUAAAAAAAAAGAUAUUGUAACACAUGGAACAGUGAAUCACUAUUAAAAUGAAAAAAAGAAAAACUUAUUGUAACCACAGUAUUUUUUUGGUAAAAUAAAUAAGUUGUACAAAAA